GAUGAACGCUGGCGGCGUGCCUAACACAUGCAAGUCGAGCGAAGCACUUUGCUUAGAUUCUUCGGAUGAAGAGGAUUGUGACUGAGCGGCGGACGGGUGAGUAACGCGUGGGUAACCUGCCUCAUACGGGGGGAUAACAGUUAGAAAUGACUGCUAAUACCGCAUAAGACCACAGCGCCGCAUGGUGCGGGGGUAAAAACUCCGGUGGUAUGAGAUGGACCCGCGUCUGAUUAGCUGGUUGGUAAGGUAACGGCUUACCAAGGCGACGAUCAGUAGCCGACCUGAGAGGGUGACCGGCCACAUUGGGACUGAGACACGGCCCAAACUCCUACGGGAGGCAGCAGUGGGGAAUAUUGCACAAUGGGGGAAACCCUGAUGCAGCGACGCCGCGUGAGCGAAGAAGUAUUUCGGUAUGUAAAGCUCUAUCAGCAGGGAAGAAAAUGACGGUACCUGACUAAGAAGCACCGGCUAAAUACGUGCCAGCAGCCGCGGUAAUACGUAUGGUGCAAGCGUUAUCCGGAUUUACUGGGUGUAAAGGGAGCGUAGACGGAUGGGCAAGUCUGAUGUGAAAACCCGGGGCUCAACCCCGGGACUGCAUUGGAAACUGUUCAUCUAGAGUGCUGGAGAGGUAAGUGGAAUUCCUAGUGUAGCGGUGAAAUGCGUAGAUAUUAGGAGGAACACCAGUGGCGAAGGCGGCUUACUGGACAGUAACUGACGUUGAGGCUCGAAAGCGUGGGGAGCAAACAGGAUUAGAUACCCUGGUAGUCCACGCCGUAAACG
rnacentral:rRNA from 1 species